CUCACGGACAUUGCCCGCGGGCGGCGUGACCGGAGGGAGCGGCGAGCGUUCGGCGAACGAACGAGCAAUGUUCGGUUCGCGAGCGAACAUCGAAGAAGACGAUCCUGACGCACUCUCUUCAACGACUUUGCACUAAACGGUCUCAAUAUCAUUGUUAAUUUAUACCGAAUAGACAAUUAAUUGUAUACAGUCCACUCUUUCAUUUAAUUAACUUCCACUACACUCACUAUCGAAGUAACAUAUUGGUCCAUCUACCGGAAAACUGAAUCCCGCUGAAGAAACGACUGCGGUAUCGAACUUUGACCCCGCGACACGUCCGCCGAUCUAUUGCGCCGUGUCACCAUCGCUAUCCGAGGAGUUGAAGAUCAGAGUCACCUGUGGAAUUUCUGGAUAAGGAUACGGGUAUUUUACCGACAUUGAGCUGCUAUCAGACAAUCCAGAGGAGGCCUAUGCCGAGCGCUUCAAAUUCGAAGACACCUUUUAUCCGCUGGUUGCACAGGCGCGAAAGCUCCUGGAGGCCAGUCAGCAACUUCAGAACAAGCUUUCUGCAGGUUCCGUAUCAGGCUCCGAGGUAUCAGCUGUGGUGAGAGUGGUGAGCGACAAAGGUCAAAGGUACAGCGCCAGAGUCCUGCUCGACAACGGUAGUACAGCUCACUUUGUUACUGACGCCGUGUGUACCAAGCUCGGAUUGUCCCGAGUUGGCAACAGUUCCAAGGUUACAGGUAUUAACAAUAUAACUAGUACUAGUACACAGUCUUGUAACCUCACCAUCGAAUCAAUGCAUAAUGAGUACUCAGUUAAAAUUAAUUGCCACAUUUUGCCUGAAAUAACUAAAAAAUUGCCAGCAUCCUACAUAAAUAUAAAUUGCAUACCAAUUCCUACAGGACUAAUUUUAGCGGACCCAUCAUUUAACAUUCCAACAGAUAUAGAUAUUCUGCUAGGAGCUGAAAUAUUUUGGGAUGUAAUUCAGAGCAAUCACAUAAAUUUAGGAAAAAACUUGCCAAAAUUAUGCGAAACGAAAUUAGGAUGGUUAAUUUCUGGUUCCGUACCUACUAAUAAUAAUUUAAACGUUACUUAUUCACAUUUUUGUAAUUUUUCA